CCCAUUACUCCUCCUCCAGGCUUACAGCCCUUGGGGUAGGCUCUGCACAUGUGCACAUAUAUAAAAGUCACCUUCACAGACCCUCAGGGAACUGCUGCCUUGGAGCCUCACCCUCCCCACUGCCUGGGCUUGUGGUGAUCUUCAAAGUCUUUAGGCCCAGGAGUUCUCAGGCCUGGCUUAGUGGGGGAGUCUCACCACUUAUCAAUAUAGAAUGGAGCAUUUGGCACUGACUCCUUUGAGGGCAGCCCCUGCUGAAAAUGAAGAUGGGCGAGGAGUCUCUGUUUUGUAGAAUUUGUUUAUGCGAGGGGUGUUGCUAAAAAUAAAGGCCCCUUCUCUCCCCUCCCCACCAAGGGGUUCAGAAAAUGUAAUCUUAAGGACCCACACUGUGAAAAAUUAAGGGAGACAUAUCCUCACCUCAAAAGGCUGACUGUCUAGUGCGGAGGGCAAGUCGUGGAAAGGUGAAGUCAUAAUCUAAGGUGGUAGUAGGAGACAGCUGCUGAGAUACAAGAGGAGAGAAGACUAAGAAGCUACUGGCUUUCAAAUUGAACCACUGGAUAUACCUGGGAUGGAGCUGUGAGCCUGUAGUGUGAGGACACACAAAAAGCCAUCUGAGCAGAGAAGAGGUUGGGAGCUGAGAGACGUGUAACAUGGAAGAGAGACGGCGGAGCCGAGAUCAGACCCAUCCCUUAGCAUCAGCCUCCCCUCCUCCUGAGCCUGCAGAAAACUUGCAGAGCGGGGACAGCAGGCAGCGUUCCAUAGGACCUCUAUAGUUGGCCCUAAUCAUAAGAUGCCGCUAUGUAAGAUUUACAAAGUCAUCAGGCCCCUGCCGAUGUUCGGUAUUUUUCAGCGUUUUUUGACGUUUUGACUGUCUUUGGUAGUAGUAUUGCCCCGAGUUGAACAUUUCUACCAGUUGGUGCUGGAUUGCAGGUAGAAAUAACAUCAUAUGCGGUUUAUGUCAAAAGACAAUUGCUUUCCCAUAACAUUCCAUUUCCUUGAAGUAAUCCAUCUGCCUCCUAUAGUUAACUUUGCUUAAAAUAGAUACAGUGUGCCAUACUUCAAAUGAGUAUAAAAAGCUUCUCAUGGGUUUUGCUAGGCACCCUCACCCAGUUUCAGCGAGAUUAAGACUUUGAGAUCUACAGAUGACGCGAUACCACCUAUGUGUGUGUGCGUGCAGAUGAAUUCUUUCUGAAGUAGUGUGAUUACUGUCUUUUUAACCAGGGCUUCCAUUUGCAAAGGCAUGUAACUUGAGGUCAACUUUACAAAUCAAUGACAUUUACAUCCUUCAGAGUACAUUAAUGUGAUAUUCCUCUGUGCCCCCAGUGGUCUCCAUUUCUGUAAUGCUACACGUUCAGGUGUUCGAUUUAUUUUUCAGGCCAUCUCUCUUCCAGGAGCUAAAACAGUAUUUUGCUUGAAUUCAGCAGCACCUUAGGUGCCCUGGUAGUGAAGAGCUAUAAUAGCAAUGCCAAAACUGCAUUUGCUCUGAAUGCUGGUGGUCUGGCGGGUAGGUUUUAGUGAGAAUCUAGCAAGUGACCAAUCCCAGGAUGAGUGAUGGGAAUGUGGUCUCUGAUAGGAUUCGAUGCCAGACCCCAGGGCUUAACGGCUCAGUCGGGAGGCUGAUGAGCAAGGACACACUGCAUCACCAGCUGAUUAAGUGCUGAGGGAUGGAGCCGUGGAAGCCCUGAGGGGGACACGUGGCCUGGCCUGAGAGCGUGAGGAAGGUGUCCAGAGGAGGAAAGUGCUGGAAGCCUGCAGACAUGUGCAAGAGAGUCUGCUAGGAAGCUCUAGAUCUUCUGUCCUUGUAGAUGAGAAUUUUUUGACAUCUGUAGUUUUCCACGGUAUCACACAACCUUGCUCAUACAAUGAUUUUCCAAUAAAUAUUCCCUUAUUCCCCUUUAAGGAUUUCUGCAGGCAGUGGACAAAAAUCAUAUUUGCACUGCAACGUCAAAAGAAGCAUCGUGUAGGUACUAGAUCUAUAGCACCACUCUUGGACCAGGGCUGCCUGGCCCCCUCUUCUGGGCCCCUGCACUUGAGAGAACUUUGUUCCAGUCCUCCUCUGGUGUGUCCAUCUCAGAAGAGCAGGAUUUCAGGCUUCCGAAGGCUUGAUCAUAUUCCGGGAGAUUCAUGUAUUGAUUAUGCUUAAAUGUAUAAUUUGGAUAAUCACACAUGGAAAUCCAGAAGCGAAUGCUGUUCACCAGAGAAACAAGAGCUUUGCUGUUGCACUUUUGGUGGGAGCAUACCAUGUACUUUUCUGUCCUUUGAUAUCUUUCACUUAUGUAAUUUUGGAGACUUUCUGGAACAGAAUGUCGACAUCAACCUCAUUUCCAGUGCUCCGUGGUUUUUCAGAUUACAGAAUAUCCGGGAUGCCGUGGUGAUGAAACCGAGAAGAAGAGCUGACAUCACACAGAGGAGGCGCUCUUCUUCAGCGGGUGCAGCCAGGCCCCUUGGUUGAGCAUGGGCUGGAGGGCUGCCCAGACCCACACAAUAGCCUCGGCCCCAUGAGGCUGCCUUGGGCCGCAUCUCGGCCACCUGAUACUCCGCUUCCGCCAGCCUGGAGAACCAAGGCCUCUUCAGCCCUGCACUAACGCCAUCCUCAACUCUGUUUCCUGAUUUUAUCUUCUUUAAUUCAUUAAACAGCACUUUUGCCA